rnacentral:tRNA from 1 species
GAAGAUAUGGCUCAGAGAUAGAGUAUAUGCUUAGCAUGCACGAAGCCCUGGGUUCAAUCCUCAGUACCUCCA